rnacentral:tRNA from 1 species
GCUGGCGUAGCUCAAUGGUAGAGCAGCUGAUUUGUAAUCAGAAGGUUGCGGGUUCAAGUCCCAUCGUCAGCU